CCUACGGGGGGCAGCAGUGAGGAAUAUUGGUCAAUGGGCUUACGCCUGAACCAGCCAAGUCGCGUGAGGGAAGACUGCCCUAUGGGUUGUAAACCUCUUCUGUCAGGGAGCAAUUGGCGCGACGUGUAGCGUUAUCGAGAGUACCUGAAGAAAAAGCAUCGGCGAACUCCGUGCCAGCAGCCGCGGUAAUAGGGAGGAUGCGUGCGUUAUCGGGAUUUAUUGGGUUUAAAGGGUGCGUAGGCGGAAUGCCAAGUCAGCGUGAAAAGCGCGGGGCUCAACCUCGCUCCGCCGUUGAAACUGGCGUUCUUGAGUGGGCGAGAGGUAAGCGGAAUGCGUGGUGUAGCGGUGAAAUGCAUAGAUAUCACGCAGAACUCCGGUUGCGAAGGCAGCAUACCGGCGCCCAACUGACGCUGAGGCACGAAAGCGUGGGUAUCGAACAGGAUUAGAUACCCCAGUAGUC
rnacentral:rRNA from 1 species